GAUGAACGCUGGCGGUAUGCCUAACACAUGCAAGUCGAACGAGACCUUCGGGUCUAGUGGCGCACGGGUGCGUAACGCGUGGGAACCUGCCCUUAGGUUCGGAAUAACUCAGAGAAAUUUGAGCUAAUACCGGAUAAUGUCUUCGGACCAAAGAUUUAUCGCCUUUGGAUGGGCCCGCGUUGGAUUAGCUAGUUGGUGGGGUAAAGGCCUACCAAGGCGACGAUCCAUAGCUGGUCUGAGAGGAUGAUCAGCCACACUGGGACUGAGACACGGCCCAGACUCCUACGGGAGGCAGCAGUGGGGAAUAUUGGACAAUGGGCGAAAGCCUGAUCCAGCAAUGCCGCGUGAGUGAUGAA
rnacentral:rRNA from 1 species